UGAUCUCAAAUACAGGUAUGAGCUACCCGUCUGAACUUAAGCAUAUCAAUAAGCGGAGGAAAAGAAACUAACAAGGAUUCCCCUCGUAAC
rnacentral:rRNA from 1 species